UCUUGGGGCUCCUUUGUUAGAGCCCCAGUAAAGGUUGCCGUAACUUCCGAUCCAAAGCGGAGGUGUUCCUGCAGCUGCCCCUUCUGGGAUGAGGGGCAGUUCUUGAGUCUGGGGGCCUCUGAGGCGCUGCUCCGGACCAGCAUGCACCUGCUUCUUUUUGUCGCACCAGUCCUGUGUCUCCGUACCUCUCCGGCUGCCGGGUCUGUGGCCUCGCAGCCCGAGUCAGGUGUCCUGGGUAGCUUGAGGACACGGGGCUGGGCAGGUGCCGAGAGCCUGCGCCUGGCCCCGUCCUGCUGGGCUGAGCCACUAGGCGCCUGGAGCGAGGAGCCUCCGGGAGACUAUGAGCGGGAGGGUCGCCUGCUCGGCUCUCGCCUACGCCUUCUGCUCCAAUUGCUUUCCUAAUCGAGCGGAAAAGCCGGGGGCGUGUUGCCGGGGCCCCAGAACGCUAGCGGGCUCGGCAGUGCAGCCUGAAGUCCGCGGGUGGACCUUCCCGCCCACGGGUCGUGCUGUCACUCGCCCUGCAGCCCCCAGCCAGCCAGAGGGCACCCCACACUGGCGUCAUAGGGUAAAGGGACCAGAGGCAGCUGAAUGACCAUGACCGCAGGCUUUACAGAGGCUUUCAGUGCAACAGGGGCUUGCGCUGGGAAGUUCCCCUCGCUUACAAUUCUGCAACUAUCCAUAAACAGCUACAUCCCGAUGUGUGCUAGGCAUUGGGAGUUACAGGGCUUGAGUCAGCAGCCCUAAGAAGGCUUGGAAGUGGGGGUAUGUGUCUGAGUGUGUGUGUGUGUGUGUGUGUGUGUAGAAACUAACCGAGCACCUAGUGCAGUGUCUGGCAACCAGUAAACCUUGGCUGAAUGAAUGAGAAGGUAAGUGGCUGAGGGAGCAGGGCUAGAGAGGGCAGCUCUGUUUUAUCCCACCCCUGCCUCCCCUGGGCUCAGUCAGACAAAAGUAAUUAGGUUGAGCCUUUAAUCACAGCUGGUUUCACAGGCAGGCGGACAAGGAAGAUCGGAGAAAGGCAGAAAUUCUAGGGACACAGCGUGCUGGCUUAUGGGCAGUGCCUCCCUCUGGGACCCCCUCCAGCCCCCACAGAUUCUCCGACAGUAAUCUCCUGUUUUCUUGUCUCCCUCAGGACACUGGGUUCCCUACGAGCUGCCCCAGGCUUAAUGAUUGUCCAGAAGGUGGCUAUAAAGGGAGCCUGGGAGGCUGGGUGGAGGAGGGAACAGAGAAAGCCUAACUCAGCAGAUCUGGUCACUGAGAGAGCCACAGGCAGGAGCUGUGGUCGGAGGCUUCGUGUCUUGGCCAGUGGGGCCUGCUCCCUUCCACCAUGGCCGCCCAAGGCUACGGCUAUUACCGCGCUGUGAUCUUCUCAGCCAUGUUUGGAGGCUACAGCCUGUACUACUUCAACCGCAAGACCUUCUCCUUUGUCAUGCCAUCGUUGGUGGAGGAGAUCCCUCUGGACAAGGACGACUUGGGUGAGCCACGGAAGGGCAGGGUGGUGGGCCCUGGGACCCAGGACCCGUAGGACAAGUUGGUGUUGGUGGCAGUGUUGUGCAUAAAGGCACGUAGCGUGUGUGGAGCGUCUGCACAGUGGAGGGUAGGGAGAGUCGGCACACGCCGACCGGACUCUGAAAACCAUACGCCUGGCUGUGGGCUAAGCACCAGGAGUGUCGUCGAUACGCGUCUGAGGAGGGCUGCCUAUGUGAUGUGUCUUUGUGUGCCUGUGACCCACACGUGCCCCCACAGGUCUGGCUUAUUCCGAGUAUGUUUAGGGGGCUUCUGGGCAUGGUUUCCACACCUCGUGGGUGCGUGCUAAGACCACAGGGUGCACGCUGGCCACUGACGUCGUAAGCAAUGGGAACUGGAGACUUGGCACAGAAACUUCACGUGGCCCCGCACGCUACAUUUCAGGGGGAAUAACGUCCUUGAUUCCAAUUCUAAGCUCUUUGCCCCAUGCCCAGAGGUGGGGGUGACGGAACUGCUAGAAGCCCUGGGUCGGCAUCCAGGGUGAGGAGGAAAUGUAAUCAGGCAUGGGUAGAUCCCAGGGUGGGGCUGCCCUGUUCUCCCCUUCUUGCCCCCUGACAGCUGCAGCUGGAACUCUCCAGGUUGAAAAGUCAAGGGUCAGCCUGGGGCUAGCGCCGGCGGUGAGGAGGGGUAGCGGCGCCCCUGAAAGGGUGCUGGGAUUCCAACACAGGCUGCUUCUGGUCCCCUUGGAAGGAACCUAUCUCACCCUGCCAGGCACCUCUACACACGUGACCCCAUGCCUUCCUCCAUCCCUCCUGUGCCCUUGCCCUGGCCCCUAACCCCCUAGGUGUGCUGCUUCCUGCUCCCCUCCCCUGCAGGGCUCAUCACCAGCAGCCAGUCGGCAGCCUACGCCAUCAGCAAGUUUGUGAGCGGGGUGCUGUCUGACCAGAUGAGUGCCCGCUGGCUCUUCUCUUCUGGGCUGCUUCUGGUCGGCCUGGUCAACGUAGUCUUUUCCUGGAGCUCCAUGGUACCUGUCUUUGCUGCUCUCUGGUUCCUCAAUGGCCUGGCACAGGGGCUGGGCUGGCCUCCCUGUGGGAAGAUCCUGCGGAAGGUGAGUGUCUGCUCCCAAGAAGCCAGUUGAGACUGGCCGAGGGGAUACCUACAGGGCAUGUGGGAGUACCAGCACUCCCAUCCCCGAGCGGGUUCCUCGGGAGUUCCAGUCCAACUCCUGUUGCUCGUCGAGAUAUUUUAGGAGCUAAACAUGGUGGGAUCAGGUGGCAGAUGAGGGAAUUGGCCCUGCCAAGUAGAGGCGCCCUCUUCCUCGUCCCUGUAAUGUGAGCUUCUAGGUCUGCCCCUGCCCCACCUGACCCUCACCUUCAACAUGUUUAAUGUGGGCACCUACUCUGAACCCUCUGCCCCACAGUGGUUUGAGCCAUCUCAGUUUGGCACCUGGUGGGCCAUUCUGUCAACCAGCAUGAACCUGGCUGGAGGGCUGGGCCCUAUCCUGGCAACCAUCCUCGCCCAGAGCUAUAGCUGGCGCAGCACGCUGGCCCUGUCUGGGGCGCUCUGUGUAGUUGUCUCCUUCCUCUGUCUCCUGCUCAUCCACAAUGAACCCGCUGACGUUGGGCUCCGGAACCUGGACCCCGCCCCCUCCAAGGACAAGAAGGGUGAGCACGCACCCAGGCCGAAUCACUGGGGCACCUUCAUCCACCAUUCAUUUGGCAGACUUUCAUUGAGGUCUGGCUGUAUGCCUGGCCCUGUGCUAGCCGAUGGAGGCAGGGGGAGGGAUGGUGGUGGCAAGUUGGUGGGGAGUAAAUAAAACUCCGUUCCAAGAGACACUUAAGUACCAGACAAGCGGCAGAGCCAACAAAUGCUGUGUGACUCAUGUUAUAUCCCGGUCCUUCCUCACAGCAGAGCCAGACUUCCCUGUCCUGUCCUGGACAGCAUCCUAAGCUUAAGUGGCUUGGGUGCCUUCCUCCAUGUGCCCUGGUCCCGGUUUCAUUUGCUGAGGCCUGUAGUGGAGGGGACAGGGUAGAACAGUGGGUGAAGGGGUGCCUUCCUGCUGGUCCCUGGCUGUGUGGAUGGACUGUGGCCCUGUGGCUGGUUAAUGAGUGGUGGGGGCUCAGUCGGGGCAGAGCAGCAAGAGUGGAGCCUCAGGCCUGGCCUCCUCCUGCCCCCAGGCUCCUCGAAGGAGGAGAGUACUCUACAGGAGCUGCUGCUGUCCCCCUACCUGUGGGUACUCUCCACGGGCUACCUCGUGGUAUUUGGAGUAAAGACCUGCUGUACUGACUGGGGCCAGUUCUUCCUCAUCCAGGAGAAAGGACAAUCCGUCCUCGUGGGUAAGAUGAGUUUGGAACAGGGGUGGGCCUAGGGAGCAGGAGUCAAUGAAAGGGAUGGGAAGUUCAGGCCCAGCUUCUCUUUAUCCCUUCCUUCUUUCCCUGAGGCCAGGCACUACUCAGACAGCUGUGGUCGGUCACCCUUGGGGACCCUGUACCUCUCUGGGUUUAAGCCAGUCUGGGACAACCCCAGUGUGUAACACCCACCCUUCCUUUCCCUCUUCCCACCACAACUCCCUACUCCAGGUAGCUCCUACAUGAGUGCCCUGGAGGUUGGGGGCCUUGUAGGCAGCAUCGCAGCUGGCUACCUGUCAGACCGGGCCAUGGCAAAGGUGAGUGGGCAGACGGGACAGGAAGGAGGAGGGUCCCUUUAAACCUUCCCAGCGUGACUGGGACAGGCACCAGAGAGGCGGGAGCCCUGGGGCACGGGCAGGCUGGCAUAAGCCAGUUUAGGUUGGGGGAGGUUGGAAUGAUUCCAGGCUGCCGUUAUUCGCUGGGGGUGUGAAGGUUAAGACUCCUGGGGAAAAGGCUUUAAAUGAUGUCAAGGAGAGCUGGAAUGUCUCUCAGCCUGGCAGUGGGCUUCUCCACAGCCCCAGGAAAACUGGGGUUGAGGAGGAAGCAAGUGCAGCUUGCCAGCACAUGUCCCGACCCUGCCCCGUGGUGGAGGAAGGGAUGUUGUGGAGUUUGGCCUCUGAACACAACGAGCAGGUCCCGGGGCCUCCCAGAGCUGCCCGGGGCCAAGAGCUGUGGUGGGAUUGCCAAAGACCUGUCAGCAGAGGCCCUGCUGUAUCAGAGUCCAGGGGUGGAGGUUCUCUGCUGCUUUUAGGCCCUGACAUUGCUGGGACUGUAUCCACAGGCAGGCCUAUCCAUCUACGGGAACCCUCGCCAUGGCCUGUUGCUGCUCAUGAUGGCUGGCAUGACCGUGUCCAUGUACCUCUUCCGGGUCACUGUGACCAGUGACUCCUCCAAGGUAAAUAAGGAGGGCCUGGCCCACAGCAGGCACAAGGAUGAGAAAGCAAGGGCCGCCGACUCUCAGGCUUCCUCUCCCUGGCUCCACCCUGGCCCAGGCCUUUCUUUGCCUCUCAGAUCUCCCUUUCCAGGUCUGUCUUACCUCGUGUCCUCUUUGUACUUCGGUGCCCCUCCUGGACUCGGGACUUGGUUUCCUUUUCUUUCCUGUGCUCCUCUAGGAUGUUGCUUUCUGGACUCCAGCUCUUCACCCUCUCGCUGAGCUCACAGGCUUUACGGAGCACGAGGUGCCUUAUCUCUGGUUUUCUUCCUGGUUUGUCUUACCCUUGUCCUACUGUCUUCCUCGCCCCUAGCCAAUCCAGCUAGCAUGAGUUCUGAGAAGAGAUAGCAUCUAACUUGGAGGGACGGCUUCUGUACCUCCUUCACCUACCCACACAGGCCCUCGGGUUGGCUCGGUGUGGCACUCACUCCUCUAGCUCUGCCCUGUCCAUUGUAUCAGAAAGUGGGGUGAGGGAGGUCAUUUCCUGUGUCCUUAACUACAGUUAUUUGUUCUGUCCUCUGGCAGAGGUAGAUAGGUAGGUAGGCUCUCUCAAACUCUGAAUGCCACUCUGUGCUGCCCUUGCAGCUCUGGAUCCUGGUGUUGGGAGCCCUGUUCGGUUUCUCCUCCUACGGUCCCAUUGCCUUGUUCGGAGUUAUAGCCAAUGAGAGUGCUCCUCCCAACUUGUGCGGCACCUCCCAUGCCAUUGUGGGACUCAUGGCCAACGGUAAGCGGAGUCUCCACCUCACCCCUACUUGUGCCUCGCACUUAAGCCAGCUAUAGUCUGGGGCAGGCCCCGCCGGCCCUAGCCUCACAAAUGACCCAGACUCUUCCCCUCCUCCUUGGCAGUGGGCGGCUUUCUGGCUGGGCUGCCCUUCAGCACCAUUGCCAAGCACUAUAGCUGGAGCACGGCCUUCUGGGUGGCCGAAGUGAUCUGUGCAGUCAGCACAGUCGCCUUCUUUCUGCUACGAAACAUCCGCACCAAGAUGGGCCGAGUGCCCAAGAAGGCCGAGUGAAGACAGUACAGGCACCUGUGCAUCCUCUCCCACCUGUGGACCUUCCCCUGCACAGGGCUGGGGAGGUGCGGGGGCGGGGAGAAAGAAAGUGGGGCUGCUCCGGCUACCGAUGAACCUUGGAUCGCCUUUUUUGCUCCUUUUCCCUCGCCCAGGUGGCGCUGGAAGUUAUCAGUGGCUAAUGAGGUCCCAGCUCCCCAUCCUGUGCUCUAUUUAAAAGACAACUUUUGUUCUUGGACUUCAUUAGCUCCAAUUUCCUGCCUUCAAACAGGAAACCCCUACAGUGAGGGAGUCUCCAAUACCCUCUUCCUCUCCUGGACACUGCCCUACCCCCACCCCACCCCACCCCACCCCAUCCCCACAAGAGGUGAGGCUCCUCCUGUAGCUGCAGGGCACCAAUGGGCCAUGAUUUCUGCCCUAAGGCCUCUUAGCACACAGUGACUGUUCUUGCCAAUACCUCAAGAUUCCAGGCAGAGAGGAGGCCAUCACUCUCACCAAUACCCUGGGAACACGGGGGCCUGGGUGGGAGGGAGGAAGACUUGAUAAAGAGAUUAAAACUAGAUUUGAUACUAAACACAGUGAGCCAUUCUUUCAAAAGGGGUAUUACAGACCAGAGACAGUUUUCCUUGGAAAAUAUUCUCUUGCUACCUGCUCUUUCCACCCCAAACAGGACAGACUUCAUUUCCUUGGAAUGGGAGAUCUGACGUAUACUCCUUUUAGCUUAUGUCUCCUUUGCCUUCAACUUUACACUGUAUAAUUCAAUGAUCAUUUUAGAGAUGAAGCUACUGGGUUUCAGACAAAUUAAAUACUUUGAUGGAGGG
rnacentral:lncRNA from 1 species